rnacentral:misc_RNA from 1 species
AGCAGCCGCGGUAAUUCCAGCUCCAAUAGCGUAUAUUAAAGUUGUUGCAGUUAAAAAGCUCGUAGUUGAAUUUCGGAAUCAAUGGAUCGGUCAUGCCACUCGGUGUGUACUGGUUUGAUUGGUUCUCACCUUCUAAGGAACCGUGAUGUCAUUAAUUUGGUGUCGCGGGGAAUUAGGACUGUUACCUUGAAAAAAUUAGAGUGUUUAAAGCAAGCUCACGCUUGAAUACAUUAGCAUGGAAUAAUGAAAUAGGACAUUGUAUUCUAUUUUGUUGGUUUCUAGGAUCGAUGUAAUGAUUAAUAGGGAUAGUUGGGGGCAUUAGUAUUCAAUUGUCAGAGGUGAAAUUCUUGGAUUUAUUGAAGACUAACUACUGCGAAAGCAUUUUGCCAAGGAUGUUUUCAUUAAUCAAGAACGAAAGUUAGGGGAUCGAAGACGAUCGGAUACCGUCGUAGUCUUAACCAUAAACUAUGCCGACUAGGGAUCGGAUGAUGUUAAUUUUUUAAUGACUCAUUCGGCACCU